UAAACGUGGAUGUACUUGCUUU
rnacentral:miRNA from 1 species